rnacentral:rRNA from 1 species
CAUGUCCUUUNGAUUUUAAUUUAAGGUUUGGUCUGCUCAAUGAGGUUUUAAAUUGCCGCAGUAUUUUAACUGUGCGAAGGUAGCAUAAUAAUUAGUUUCUUAAUUGGAAGCUGGAAUGAAUGAUUGGACGAAAAAAUUACUGUCUCUUGGGAAGGGUUUAUUUAAUUUUAUUAUUAAGUUAAAAAGCUUAAAUUUAAAUAAAAGACGAGAAGACCCUAUAGAGUUUAAUAUUUACAACUUAUUAAUUUUUAGUAAAUUUAUUAAGUUUUAAUUAUUUAGUUGGGGUGACUUAAAGAUUAAAUUAAUUCUUUAAAUAUUUAAUUGUUGAUAAGUAAUUUGUAAAUCUAGUUUUUUAAAUUUAAAAUAAAUUACCUUAGGGAUAACAGCGUAAUUUUUCUUUAAAGCUCUUAUUGAAAGAAGAUUUUGCGACCUCGAUGUUGGAUUAAAAUUAAUUUUUGGUGCAGUCACUAAAAAAUUAAGUCUGUUCGACUUUUAAAAUUUUACAUGAUCUGAGUUUAAACCGGUGUAAGCCAGGUUGGAUUCUAUCUUUAUUAAUUUUAUAUGUUUUAGUACGAAAGGACCUGAUAUAUAUUAUAAAAUAAUUG